rnacentral:rRNA from 1 species
CCUACGGGAGGCAGCAGUGGGGAAUUUUGGACAAUGGGCGCAAGCCUGAUCCAGCAAUGCCGCGUGAGUGAAGAAGGCCUUCGGGUUGUAAAGCUCUUUUGUCAGGGAAGAAACGGCUGAGGCUAAUACCUUUGGCUAAUGACGGUACCUGAAGAAUAAGCACCGGCUAACUACGUGCCAGCAGCCGCGGUAAUACGUAGGGUGCAAGCGUUAAUCGGAAUUACUGGGCGUAAAGCGUGCGCAGGCGGUUUUGUAAGUCUGACGUGAAAUCCCCGGGCUCAACCUGGGAAUUGCGUUGGAGACUGCAAGGCUGGAGUCUGGCAGAGGGGGGUAGAAUUCCACGUGUAGCAGUGAAAUGCGUAGAGAUGUGGAGGAACACCGAUGGCGAAGGCAGCCCCCUGGGUCAAGACUGACGCUCAUGCACGAAGGCGUGGGGAGCAAACAGGAUUAGAUACCCUGGUAGUCCACGCCCUAAACGAUGUCUACUAGUUGUCGGGUCUUAAUUGACUUGGUAACGCAGCUAACGCGUGAAGUAGACCGCCUGGGGAGUACGGUCGCAAGAUUAAAACUCAAAAGGAAUUGACGG